rnacentral:lncRNA from 1 species
UUUCCUAGGAAGCUGAUGCUUACAACAAUGGAGAUUAGCAAUACCUGGACAGAGUUGAGCUUCAAAGGAUACUGAGAAAUAGCUAAAGCAGAUGAUAAAGAAAAAAUGAGGAAAUGCUGUGAAGAACUAAUAGAACGUUUCAGAAGCAGAACAAGUCGAGAGCAGUGAUGACCCUUUUGUUCCUGCUAGUACCUCCUGUCUGUCUGGCCGAACUCACCAUCAGAUGAUGUCUUGAACCUCACCUAGAUGGGCUGGUGGUGUGUGGCCAGGUUAAGAGCACCAACAGGAGUAAGAAAGUGACCUGCCUGGUUUUACCGUGUGUACUAGGGGAGGGGUUGAAAGCUUUCGGUUGAUACAUCACCUCUGGGAGUUGAAGAAGAAUGCAAUUAAGAGAGCUAAAGAAGUCAGUAGGUAUCUCUCCUGAACAAUUCUGGUUUUCUUCUAAUAGCUUUUACAAUUUUUACCUCUGUUAUGAAAUGCAAACUUUUAACCAAUAUUAGUAAUAGUAAUCUCAAAUCUCAUCAUCAUCAAAAUCUUAUUUAUGAAAUAUAGGAGUUAGUUCAUAUACAGCCUUAGCCUUUUCCACAUUAUAAAAUAUAUUCCAUAUAUAUGUGUGAUCUUCAUUUAAUAUUCAAGUAAAUGUUGUAAGAUAUUGUUAUUUUUAUUCUAACAUUUCACAGGUAUAGAAUCUGAAACUCAGAGGUCAACUGAUGUGUCAAAGAUACCUCCACAAAUCAGUACCUUGAUUAAAACUAAAAUUGGAGUCAUCUUCAUAUCUCCAUCUUUCUCCCUCUUCAUUAGGACCGAUUGUAGUCUGUUUCCCUCUCACUCACUUGCAAUCUUUAUUGCUUUAGUGUUGCAUUUGAUUUUUAUCUUUGUUUUUGUUUUAAAUACUGUCAUUAAAGUCAUAGAAAAAUCUAAAAUAAAACUGGUUGAAUAAAAAUUUUAAAAUCGA